GUGGUUGCUGUUGCCUGGUCCUGCGUGCAGCUAAUAACGUGCAAAGAUAGGAGUGUCCGUCCCAGCAACAGGCAUCAGAUAAGCAGCUUGACUGAUGAUUACCCAAGCAGUACGGCAUAUAUAAUUGAUCCAUGCCAAAAAACCAUCCGCAUAAUUAUUUAAUUGUUGCUUUUCCUAAACUCAAAGGUCCGCAAAAAGAAAGCAGUCAUGAAAUGUAAAUUCCGCUGCGCAAAUAUAUCCAAGCAGCAACUAUUAUCACGUAAUAACUGGUAUUGGCGGUAGUAUUUUGUAAUCCUUGAAACAACAUCAAUUCAUAUCUGGAUGCAAACCAAUUUUUAUUCCUUCUCAUAAGCUAUUUUUUCUAAUUUCCGAUAUCACUUUAGUAGACAUAUUUAUUUACAUCAUAUAAGAAAAAAUUAUAAUCACAAAUGUAAUUGUAUGUAAACAAUAAACCGUACUUCUUUUU